CAGCCGCCGCGGUAAUACGUAGGUGGCAAGCGUUGUCCGGAAUUAUUGGGCGUAAAGGGCUCGCAGGCGGUUUCUUAAGUCUGAUGUGAAAGCCCCCGGCUCAACCGGGGAGGGUCAUUGGAAACUGGGAAACUUGAGUGCAGAAGAGGAGAGUGGAAUUCCACGUGUAGCAGUGAAAUGCGUAGAGAUGUGGAGGAACACCAGUGGCGAAGGCGACUCUCUGGUCUGUAACUGACGCUGAGGAGCGAAAGCGUGGGGAGCGAACAGGAUUAGAUACCCGGGUAGUCCCUGUCUCUUAUAA
rnacentral:rRNA from 1 species